rnacentral:rRNA from 1 species
UACAGAGGUCCCAAGCGUUGUUCGGAUUCACUGGGCGUAAAGGGUGCGUAGGUGGCGGGGUAAGUCGGAUGUGAAAUCUCGGAGCUCAACUCCGAAACUGCAUUGGAAACUACCUUGCUUGAGGGUUGGAGGGGGGACUGGAAUACUUGGUGUAGCAGUGAAAUGCGUAGAUAUCAAGUGGAACACCAGUGGCGAAGGCGAGUCCCUGGACAACUCCUGACACUGAGGCACGAAAGCUAGGGGAGCAAACAGG